GACGUAGGGCGCGAGCGUUGUCCGGAUUUAUUGGGCGUAAAGAGCUCGUAGGCGGUGUGUCGCGUCGGCCGUGAAAACCUGCAGCUUAACUGUGGGCUUGCGGUCGAUACGGGCAUCACUGGAGUUCGGCAGGGGAGACUGGAAUUCCUGGUGUAGCGGUGAAAUGCGCAGAUAUCAGGAGGAACACCGGUGGCGAAGGCGGGUCUCUGGGCCGAUACUGACGCUGAGGAGCGAAAGCUAGGGGAGCAAACGGG
rnacentral:rRNA from 1 species